rnacentral:rRNA from 1 species
UACGAAGGGGACUAGCGUUGUUCGGAAUCACUGGGCGUAAAGCGCACGUAGGCGGAUGUGUCAGUCAGGGGUGAAAUCCCGGGGCUCAACCUCGGAACUGCCUUUGAUACAGCACGUCUCGAGUCCGGAAGAGGUGGGUGGAAUUCCUAGUGUAGAGGUGAAAUUCGUAGAUAUUAGGAAGAACACCGGUGGCGAAGGCGGCCCACUGGUCCGGUACUGACGCUGAGGUGCGAAAGCGUGGGGAGCGAACCGG